rnacentral:lncRNA from 1 species
ACAUUUAUCUCUCCCACAAUCCAAUUACACAAUUUUCUCUAACCUAAUUUCUCUCCUCCUCUCAUAUUCCAGACUCAUACACGAUUUCACACCACCACACUCCAUUAGAGUCUCUCUUUUUUCCUAUGACUGCAACUCGAUUUCGUGUUCAAUAUGCAACUCGCGAUUUCAUGUUUCAUCGUCUCCUCUCUCAUUCAACUCGCGAUCUGCAACUCAGCUAUUCUCUCUGUGAUUUCGUGUACCAUCUUCUCCAAUCUUUCUUCAACUCGCGAGUCUCUACACACAGUAAGGUACUGGACCUUGAUUUUAGGGUUUUCUGAAAUUUUCAAUUUGGAUCUUAGGAUUUAAGGUUCAAUUAGUUAAUUAGUUUAUGUGAGAUAUUGUGAUUUAGGGUUCAAUUAGUAUUGUUCU